UAGCUAGUUGGUGAGGUAAUGGCCCACCAAGGCGACGAUCGGUAGCCGGACUGAGAGGUUGAACGGCCACAUUGGGACUGAGACACGGCCCAGACUCCUACGGGAGGCAGCAGUGGGGAAUAUUGCACAAUGGGGGAAACCCUGACGCAGCGACGCCGCGUGGAGGAAGAAGGUCUUCGGAUUGUAAACUCCUGUUGUUGAGGAAGAUAAUGACGGUACUCAACAAGGAAGUGACGGCUAACUACGUGCCAGCGGCCGCGGUAAAACGUAGGUCACAAGCGUUGUCCGGAAUUACUGGGUGUAAAGGGAGCGCAGGCGGGAAGACAAGUUGGAAGUGAAAUCUAUGGGCUCAACCCAUAAACUGCUUUCAAAACUGUUUUUCUUGAGUAGUGCAGAGGUAGGCGGAAUUCCCGGUGUAGCGGUGGGAUGCGUAGAUAUCGGGAGGAACACCAGUGGCGAAGGCGGCCUACUGGGCACCAACUGACGCUGAGGCUCGAAGGUGUGGGUAGCAAACAGGAUUAGAUACCCUGGUAGUCCACACCGUAAACGAUGAUUACUAGGUGUUGGAGGAUUGACCCCUUCAGUGCCGCAGUUAACACAAUAAGUAAUCCACCUGGGGAGUACGACCGCAAGGUUGAAACUCAAAGGAAUUGACGGGGGCCCGCACAAGCAGUGGAGUAUGUGGUUUAAUUCGACGCAACGCGAAGAACCUUACCAAGUCUUGACAUCCCUUGACGAACAUAGAAAUAUGUUUUCUCUUCGGAGCAAGGAGACAGGUGGUGCAUGGUUGUCGUCAGCUCGUGUCGUGAGAUGUUGGGUUAAGUCCCGCAACGAGCGCAACCCUUACUGUCAGUUACUACGCAAGAGGACUCUGGCAGGACUGCCGUUGACAAAACGGAGGAAGGUGGGGAUGACGUCAAAUCAUCAUGCCCUUUAUGACUUGGGCUACACACGUACUACAAUGGCGUUAAACAAAGAGAAGCAAGACCGCGAGGCGGAGCAAAACUCAGAAACAACGUCCCAGUUCGGACUGCAGGCUGCAACUCGCCUGCACGAAGUCGGAAUUGCUAGUAAUCGUGGAUCAGCAUGCCACGGUGAAUACGUUCCCGGGCCUUGUACACACCGCCCGUCACACCAUGAGAGCCGGGGGGACCCGAAGUCGGUAGUCUAACCGCAAGGAGGACGCCGCCGAGGGUAAAACUGGUGAUUGGGGUGAAGUCGUAACAAGGUAG
rnacentral:rRNA from 1 species